rnacentral:rRNA from 1 species
UCCAGACUCCUACGGGAGGCAGCAGUGGGGGAUAUUGCACAAUGGGGGAAACCCUGAUGCAGCGACGCCGCGUGGGUGAAGAAGCGCCUCGGCGCGUAAAGCCCUGUCAGCAGGGAAGAAAAUGACGGUACCUGAAGAAGAAGCCCCGGCUAACUACGUGCCAGCAGCCGCGGUAAUACGUAGGGGGCAAGCGUUAUCCGGAUUUACUGGGUGUAAAGGGAGCGUAGACGGCGGCGCAAGUCCGGAGUGAAAGCCCACGGCCCAACCGUGGGACUGCUCUGGAAACUGUGCGGCUUGAGUGCGGGAGGGGCAGGCGGAAUUCCUAGUGUAGCGGUGAAAUGCUUAGAUAUCAUGAAGAACUCCGAUCGCGAAGGCAAGUGUCCGGGGUGCAACUGACGCUGAGGCUCGAAAGUGCGGGUAUCAAACAGGAUUAGAUACCCCCGUAAA